AUUGAACGCUGGCGGCAGGCCUAACACAUGCCAGUCGAGCGGAUGAAGGGAGCUUGCUCCUGGAUUCAGCGGCGGACGGGUGAGUAAUGCCUAGGAAUCUGCCUGGUAGUGGGGGAUAACGUCCGGAAACGGGCGCUAAUACCGCAUACGUCCUGAGGGAGAAAGUGGGGGUUCUUCGGACCUCACGCUAUCAGAUGAGCCUAGGUCGGAUUAGCUAGUUGGUGGGGUAAAGGCCUACCAAGGCGACGAUCCGUAACUGGUCUGAGAGGAUGAUCAGUCACACUGGAACUGAGACACGGUCCAGACUCCUACGGGAGGCAGCAGUGGGGAAUAUUGGACAAUGGGCGAAAGCCUGAUCCAGCCAUGCCGCGUGUGUGAAGAAGGUCUUCGGAUUGUAAAGCACUUUAAGUUGGGAGGAAGGGCAGUAAGUUAAUACCUGGCUGUUUUGACGGUACCAACAGAAUAAGCACCGGCUAACUUCGUG
rnacentral:rRNA from 1 species